CUGGUCUUAUAACACCUGUCUACAGUAACUAAUAUAAAAUACAUGCUCCUGACACCACGACAGUUAGUAACGGAAUGUGGAGAUUCUCGUUGUCUAGAUCAACGUCAGGGGUGAAAUAUAGAAUUCCGCCUCUUCCCAGCCGUUGGGCUAAUGGAAAAGGAUCAGAAACAGGAGACACUAACCUGAAAGGUUAUCUAUAGCAACAAGAGAAGGAAGUUGGACGCCCUUUAUCAGAAUGAACGAGGAUAAAUCUUAUGUAAAGAGUCUGGCGAGAAAUAGAGCAAUCUCGAAAUAAACUUGUCUAAAUAUUUA